GGUGGUGGAGGGAGGUAGGUAACUCACCGGUGGUGGAGGGAGGUAGGUAACUCACCGGUGGUGGAGGGAGGUAGGUAACUCACCGGUGGUGGAGGGAGGUAGGUAACUCACCGGUGGUGGAGGGAGGUAGGUAACUCACCGGUGGUGGUGGAGGGAGGUAGGUAACUCACCGGUGGUGGUGGAGGGAGGUAGGUAACUCACCGGUGGUGGAGGGAGGUAGGUAACUCACCGGUGGUGGAGGGAGGUAGGUAACUCACCGGUGGUGGUGGAGGGAGGUAGGUAACUCACCGGUGGUGGUGGAGGGAGGUAGGUAACUCACCGGUGGUGGUGGAGGGAGGUAGGUAACUCACCGGUGGUGGAGGGAGGUAGGUAACUCACCGGUGGUGGUGGAGGGAGGUAGGUAACUCACCGGUGGUGGUGGAGGGAGGUAGGUAACUCACCGGUGGUGGUGGAGGGAGGUAGGUAACUCACCGGUGGUGGUGGAGGGAGGUAGGUAACUCACCGGUGGUGGAGGGAGGUAGGUAACUCACCGGUGGUGGUGGAGGGAGGUAGGUAACUCACCGGUGGUGGUGGAGGGAGGUAGGUAACUCACCGGUGGUGGAGGGAGGUAGGUAACUCACCGGUGGUGGAGGGAGGUAGGUAACUCACCGGUGGUGGAGGGAGGUAGGUAACUCACCGGUG